rnacentral:rRNA from 1 species
UACGUAGGUGGCGAGCGUUGUCCGGAUUUACUGGGCGUAAAGAGCGCGCAGGCGGUCGUACAAGUCGCGUGUGAAAGCCCCCGGCUCAACUGGGGAGGGUCACGCGAUACUGUUCGACUCGAAGGCAGGAGAGGGUAGUGGAAUUCCCGGUGUAGUGGUGAAAUGCGUAGAUAUCUGGAGGAACACCGGUGGCGAAGGCGGCAUCCUGGACCGAUACUGACGCUGAGGAGCGAAAGCCAGGGGAGCAAACGGG